rnacentral:rRNA from 1 species
GACGAACGCUGGCGGCGUGCUUAACACAUGCAAGUCGAACGAUGAAGCUAGAGCUUGCUCUGGUGGAUUAGUGGCGAACGGGUGAGUAACACGUGAGUAACCUGCCCCGAACUCUGGGAUAACUGCUGGAAACGGUAGCUAAUACCGGAUAUGACCAAUGAAGGCAUCUUCUGUUGGUGGAAAGAAUUUCGGUUCGGGAUGGACUCGCGGCCUAUCAGCUUGUUGGUGAGGUAACGGCUCACCAAGGCGACGACGGGUAGCCGGCCUGAGAGGGUGAUCGGCCACACUGGGACUGAGACACGGCCCAGACUCCUACGGGAGGCAGCAGUGGGGAAUAUUGCACAAUGGGCGGAAGCCUGAUGCAGCAACGCCGCGUGAGGGAUGACGGCCUUCGGGUUGUAAACCUCUUUUAGCAGGGAAGAAGCGAGAGUGACGGUACCUGCAGAAAAAGCACCGGCUAACUACGUGCCAGCAGCCGCAGUAA